UUAGAUGAUGUGAACUUAAGAAGGCUUUUUUUUUUUAACGCUUGUCAAUCAAAAGUAUUUCUACAAUUCUAGACCAAACUGGUCAGCAACUAAAACUCAAAAAAAAAAAACACCAGUAGGCAUCUAUAGACUAUCCCAUACAAAUGUGGGCAAGAAGUAAAUUCAAAAACCCAAAAAUGCCAUGAGAUUGCGAGAGUGAGAGAGAUAGAGUCAGACUCCCAAAGCAAGAACAACAUAGAUGCUUUUAAACCUCUCUCACUGUUAUGAGAAACCACCUUUUCCCCGGACAGACAACCUCUCCAUCACAAAGAAACCAUGGCUUCAUAAUCCGGCAAGUUAAGACACAUUGAUCUUCAUAAAACUUCAAUGCAGCGAAGUCGGACAACAUAUGACACGACCAUGGCUUCAUAAUCCGGCAAGUUAAGACACAUUGAUCUUCAUAAAACUUCCGAAUGCAGCGAAGUCGGACAACAUAUGACACGACAGGUAAACGCCUACACAGAAACCAUCAUGAAACAAGUAGCAAGGCCUAACCAUCCACAACAAGACCUGAACAUUGGUGAAUGGCAACAAAGAACCUAAGCCGGUGCACAAGAAAAGGCCAUUAUGAUUCCGUUGCAAAAGAACUAAGUUAGUAACGCCAAUGACAUAGCUCCACCCACCCCACCAAAACCAUCAAGCAAAAGAGAUACCAAGGCAGACCCGCCAUUGACAAUAUCUCAACACAGAAGGUCAAACUUACCAACUUGAAAGGAGAAACAGAUUAACCGCUGCUUUGUAGGACCACCACCAAGAAAAUAACCCAACUCAAAAUUCAGAAUCAAACGGGAGAUGAGGGAUCACCAGAGAAUACACACAAAUAUAUCUGGAACCAUAUCAGAGAGGAGAAGAAGGAGACACCACAUGACACGGAAGAGGAGAGGAGGAAGAGCCUCCCCCGGCUGUGGCGGAACAAUAUUAAUUAGUUAUACAAAUUCUACCUCAUGAUUGCAUAGAUUAAUGAAAAAUUCAGAAUUCUCCUUAGAUUGAUCAUUGUAUUCUUUAUCAGACAGUUCUAAUAAAUCAAUAUACUUCUCCUUUUUCAGUUGCCUUUGCUUAACCGUCCACACUGUUUUGAAGGUAACCUUGACAGCACAGUUACAUGAUGUUGUGACCUUAAGUAGGCUUAUGGAGGUAGAUACGAAGAAUUUUACGCUAAUGGAAAACAAAAUUGAAUCCGUCAAAGUUGGUCCAAUUAUAUCUCUGGUUUUGAGUGGUCAUGAUAUGAAAGAACCUAGAGUGGGACCUUAUCUCUUACGUGAUGGAUGGUUAAAAAGUCAUGGGACUUUUCCAUUGGUCUUGGACGUGUCCUGGGGUGUUAUUGGGACCUAUCUCCGACAAAUCUUCAAUCUAACUACUUUCUAAUUCAGUUUGUGUACCACAGGAAAAGAUAAUAAUAAUGAGAAAAUAUGAGAGAUAUUGGUGGUGGGUUAAGGAGAAGAAGCAGAUGGCUUUGGUGCUGUUCAUGAUAGUAUCAUUGAUGCUUCAACUCCAGAUGAAAGGAUGUGUGGGUUGUCUGGAAACUGAACGGAUGGGUCUUCUGCAACUCAAAUCGUAUCUCAAGAAUGAUUUUGAAGUAGAAGAAGAAAGCAUGAUGAAAUCAUGGAGUCAUGAGGAUCCUAGCAGUGAUUGCUGCCAAUGGGAAAGGGUAAAGUGUAGUGACGCUACCGGUGGCCACGUAGUCCACCUCUCGCUUGAUAGUCUCGAACGCAACUAUGAGUUAAAAGACCAUUCUCUAAAUCUGUCUUUGUUCCAUAGCUUCCCUCGACUCCUAAGUCUUGACUUUUCAUUCAGUAGGUUCAGUGACUUGUUUGAUCCCAUCAACGGUCAUAAGAGCUUUCAGAGACUGGAAAAGCUGAGGACCCUGGAUUUCUACCGAAAUAAUCUCAACAACAGUGUUUUCACUUUUCUAAGUGAAGCAAGGUCGCUCAGGACUCUAAACAUUAGUUACAAUUUACUGGAUGGUGUCUUUCCUCCUAAUGGUCUAGAAAAUCUUGUAGAGUUAGAAGUUUUGAGCUUGGCAGGAAAUACAUUCAACCACGUUAAAUCUAUUCAAGGUGCAGUGCUUCCUUCAUCUUUACACGCAUUGAAUCUUGCCUAUAAUCAAAUAUCAUCGGCCCCAAAAGGCUACUUGGAGAUUUGCGCAUUACUGAAUCUUAGAGAGCUGGAUUUAAGCUUCAAUGCUUUGACAAAUACUCCUUAUUGUCUGGCUAACUUAAGCCGUCUUCGAACUCUUGAACUAUCCGAAAACCAAAUCAGUGGAGACCUGUCUUCCUUUGUACCUGGUCUACCAUCAACGCUCGAGUACUUGUCCCUUUUUGAUAAUGACUUCAACGGUUCGUUCUGGUUCAGUUCACUCGUUAAUCAUACAAGACUCACAGUAUUCAAACUGUCAUCGAAAGUUGGUAAGAUCCAAGCUCAGGAUGAGAGCUCCUGGCUUCCACCGUUUCAGUUGAAGAUACUAAAGCUAAAGAACUUCAAUCUUGGCAGCACGAUUCCUAGCUUCCUUGUUCAUCAAAAUGACUUACGCUCCAUAUAUAUUACUUAUAGCCAGUUGAAAGGAGCAUUUCCGGACUGGCUUGUGCAGAAUAAUACAAGGCUGGAGGCUAUUAGACUGAACAACAAUUUGUUGGCAGAGCUUCGACUACCUAGGCUUGUUCAUGGUCUACGAUUCCUUGAUGUCUCGUGUAACAGGAUAUACGAUUCAAUUCCAGAAGACAUAGGGAUUGUUUUUCCACAUCUAAGGUACAUGAACUUUUCUUCAAAUCAUAAUUAUGGAACCAUUCCAUCUUCUAUGGGCGAGAUGAAAAGUCUUAUAAUCUUGGACAUGUCUUCUAAUCAUCUAUAUGGUCAUCUACCCAAAACGUUUUUACGUGGUUGCUACUCGCUGAGUGUUCUGAAGCUCUCCAAUAACCAACUCCAGGGGAAAGUAUUUCCGAGACAUGCAAAUCUUACUAGUUUAGGUUUGUUGUUUCUUGAUGGCAACAAUUUUGAUGGGAGUCUCGGAAAAGGUUUGUUGAAAUCAAAGUACCUAAUUCUGUUGGACUUAUCAGAUAAUAGCUUUUCCGGCACACUUCCCUUUUGGAUCGGUAAAUUCCCAGACCUAUACUAUCUAUACAUGAGGGGAAACAAACUAGAAGGUCAGGUGCCUCAUCAACUACAAAAUCUACCGCUUAAGGUUUUAGACAUGUCAAACAACAGAUUUUCUGGUUCCAUUCCAAGGAAUAUUAAUGUUGACUAUCUCAGAGAAUUAAGACUACAUAGCAAUGAGUUCAUGGGCUCAGUUCCGAGCUAUUUAUUCAAGGCUGAGGGGUUACAGGUGCUCGAUCUGCGGCACAACAAUCUUUCUGGAAUGAUUCUGAAUACUAUUGCAAAUACAUCUAUCUUACGUGUUCUUCUUCUACGGAAUAAUAGCUUCCGGACUCAUAUCCCUGAUAAGAUAUGUCAGCUAACUGAAGUUGGUCUCUUGGACUUAUCUCACAACAAAUUCAAAGGCGCUAUACCAUCAUGUUUUGGUAAAAUGUCUUUUGGUGCCCAAACAUACGACAUAUUCAGCCCAUAUGAUUUCUUUCUAGGAUUCUCAUCCUUCCAAAGCUGGAGAUAUCCAUCAGCUCUUUACCUUGCUGAUACCGAACUGAACCAAGCCAUUCAGUCACCACCAAAAACUAAAGUUAAUUUUUUAUCGAAAAGCAGAUAUGAAACAUAUCAAGGUGGUAUUCUUCUAUAUAUGCAUGGUCUGGAUUUGUCAAGCAGCCAAUUAUCCGGGGAGAUUCCAGUUGAAGUUUGGGAUCUUAAGAACAUCAUAUCCCUGAAUUUUUCAAGCAACCGUCUCAUCGGCUCCAUACCAGGUAGCAUUUCAAAGCUGAAGGAUUUGGAGAGUUUGGAUUUAUCUUACAACAAGUUACAUGGAAACAUCCCUCCUCAGCUAGCCGAUCUCAACAAUUUAGGAUACUUCAAUGUCUCAUAUAACAAUCUAUCUGGUGAAAUCCCUUUCAAAACCCAUCUUGUGACCUUUGACGAAAAGAGUUACAUAGGCAAUCCUCAUCUCUGUGGACUUCCUACCAAUAAAAGUUGCAACCUCGAGAGAGCCAGUGUAUCAAAGCGGGCCAAAGAAGAAGAAGAGGGUGGUGGCCGUGUGAUAGAUAUGGUGUGGUUUUAUUGGACUUGCGGUGCAGUCUACAUCUCCACAUGGUUGGCCUUGUUUGCGUUUCUAUGCAUAGACUCACGUUGGUCCCGUGAAUGGUUUUAUCGUGUCGAUCUCGUGGUUCAUCAUCUUCAACGCUUCAAGGAUGGCUGCAACUGAGCCUAAGAGACAGCCAAUUACAGAGCACGCAGUGAAGGAAGGAGAAAGUCGCAGGCGGUGAAGAAAAAAGAUCCGAUCGAUGAAAGAUAACUAAAGAGAUCAACGGAGCCACAUCUGGAUCAUAGCUGAAACCGAGACUGUGUUGUAUGAUCGAAGACUUGACCUCUAUUUCGGAAAGUGAGGUUUAGAGUUGAUAGUAGAGAGGUGGGCGAUCUGAAGCAUCUUUUGUGGAGCCUUGAGUUUCGUUCGGUCCAGUGUAGGUAAGCGAUUAGGAGGAGCUUUUUGUGAGGCUUUGGGAGUCGUAGAUUGUUGAAGUAGUUGAUGAUGCAGUUAUAGUCUCUUGGAGUGGUAACCUGACAGCAAAGCUACGUUGAGGACCAGACUUACCAGCUGUAACAGCAGUCAAAAAGAAGGUGAUCUCGAGUUUCCGGAGCCGCAUUGCAUAGAAAGCAGACUGAAUCAACAUUGAGGCCCCAGUUGAUUAAUCGAUCUCUUGUAGGGCUGCGGUAUAGUUCUAAAAGCCAAGCCAGGAAGUUCUGUUUAGUUUGAUCCGUUGACAGUCUAGACGUAUGUGUCUUCUUCAUCCGUCAGCUGCAAGUUUGUGAUUCCAGCAAUGACAGUGUUAACCAAUAGCAACCUUCCAUCAAAAGAAAGCGAUUCACUCCAGGGAACUGGCCAUAUGUAAGUUCUCUUGCUUCAGGACAUCGUUUGCACAUCUCAAAAUAUUCUGUUUUCGUUCAUGUAUAUCAAAGGCAAAAGUACGCCAAGCAGCUUCACAUGCAGAGAGAUACUUUAUGGCUGAUGAUCUAUUGCACCAUUCAACAUUGAUAUGAGCUCUGUAUUUCUUAAGAAGUAGGAGAUUGUGAGGCACAACAUAGCUAUUAUCAAGCUUUGCAUCUCCUUUCAUGACAAAUUUUGUUUCCUCAUAUCUCCUACGGUAAGUAAUGUAGCCAGCUUCAUUGAUGCUUGUGUUGUCAUUGUAGGGUCGUGGAAACUUUUUGGUGCAUUUGUUAUCAUUCAUACACUUUGGUCCACAUGGUCCAUGCAUCAUUAGUUGUUCAACCAAUAGAAAGCCUUCCGGAUCAGCCUCUUUAUCUGGUAACUCAGAGUUAUGGUAAUGAAGAGAUCCGGAUUUCCAUACCAUCUGCAUAUUGCCAUUGCAUCUCGAUAGUUCUCUACCAUGUAUCGCGGCCCGCCUGUGAACGAAGAAGGUCAUACGUUCUUGUUCGAUAGCAGUAUAAGCAUCGACUAUGUAUUGGUGGAAAAGGCGUCCUGAACGAACUAUUGUUCCUGGAAGUGUCAAUCUGGUAUGUAUUUGAUAUGCAUAAUACUCUCUCAUUGUAACGUACGACCUCUUUGUAGCAUAUCCUUCUGAACUAUAUGGAAUAGUUUUCUCAAUGUAGCCUUGUUCACCAUAUGGAAACAACAAAGGAUACUGUAGUGACAUAUAGGAUGGAUGUAAAUAACUUAUCCGUUGUGGUUUAUCCAUUCUAGGAUGCACUAUUAUAUCUCUAUCAGAGUUUGGGAUAGACAUGUCACCCACAAUAAGUCCUGCAAUUUCGUCUCCUUGUGGAAGGUCAAAUUGUCUUCCACGUUCUUUAUUUUUGAGUAUCCUAAUUGAAUAUUCUUCACUUGCUCCUGUUUCGUAUCGAUCUCUAGCCAUUCUAAACACUUUAGCUAACUCGUUAUUUUCAUCAAGCAUCUUAAUCAACCCUCUCAGAAUACUUUCAUCUAGGUCUGUUUUUUUUCCUUUUGAUAGUGCGUUGAAACGGUUCUGAAGUUCGUGAGCGGUAUCAUAUAUGUAUAGCUGUGCAAAACGGGGUAUAUCUCCUUCGGCUGGUAGUAAUGAUCCCAUUCUGUGGUAGUUUUGACCAUGCAUACGAAAAGUGAAUGGACCAUUUCCUGAAUUGAUAUCAUAAUCAAUUUUCCCUCCCAUAGAUGUAAAAGCAAGCAUUGAAUUAUAUGCUCGUAUAUUUUUUCGAAAUGAUGGAGACUGCGAUAUUAACUCAUCUAAAAAAGCUGGAGGUUCUCGGGAUUGUUGUAGGAUAACUCGUCCCUGUUGACAGCAGAUUGAAAAUCUCAGUUCUUUCCCUUUCAUUUUCAAACUUUCUGAUUUCCACACCAAGGCUUUGCAGUGAGUACAUGUGACCAAUUCAUUGGCUUUUUCUUUCGUAUUUCCUGAAAGAAAUAAGUGCAGGAGUCAAUCUUAUAUACGUGUACGGAUUCAGAUUCGUAUAAUAAAUAUAGUAAAUUAAUUUAUUUUUAAUAAUUUUGUACCACGAUUAUUUGCCGUUUGUGUUCUUCUUAGACAUCUUCGUCUUUUUUCUAUAACACAGUUAUCUUGAUUAUCAGUACUUUCUCGAUCAGAUGUAUUGACCUGAGAAUUAUCUUGAGAUUCAUUAUUUUCUAGAGGAAUAUCUUGCAAGAUUUCAGUGUUUAAAUUUGAAGUGCUUGACUGCUUGCUAGUUUUAGCUAUCUUUGAUCUUCGGUUGUAAAUCCUGCAACAUUGUUGAAAAGUUAAAAAUAAAUUGCAGAAUUUAUUUUGUUAGAUAAAAUUAUUUUUAAUAGGAUAGAGAGACAUAAUUGCUACCAUUUUCUAAGUUGCGUCGUUGUAACCUGAGGUCCCUAUAUUUUGUAAAGUUGUGUUAGACAAUAAUAAUUCAUAUAGAAGAAGUAAUAUUUUACUUUUAACACUUACAAUAUGAUUUAGGUUGUCGAUCCAUGUUUGAAGUGUCGCUGAUUUUAGCCGUAUAUGAGGUUCAUCCAUAAGCGACUUCUCGAUUAUAGCAAUCUGUUCAUCAUUCAUAAUAGAACGUUUUCUUUUAUUAGCUUGUGCUUCACUUUUCUCUUGUGUGUUAUUCAUGUUUGAAUGCCUUGGUUACUUUUGUGGUUUUUGAGCUAAUUUACUCUUUCAUAUAUACUGAUUGUAAUUUCCUUAUAUUUUUAGGUAACUAUGGUUUUCUUUUGUUGAGAAAAGGAACAACGAUGAAAAUUUCCUUUUUGACGCUAAAGAAGCAUGUUUCCUUUUCCCAACAAAUUUGAGUUUUAUUUCUAUAAUAAUAAUUUAUAGAUUCAGUAUGUCGCUCCCUUUUGCUUAAGAAAACAUAUUUCCUUUUUAACAAAUUUGUGUUUAUUUUCAUAAUUUUUGUUUUGAAAGAAAAUAAGAUUGUUUAUCAAACAAUUUAAUUUUUAUGCAUCAAGUUUUAUUGAUAAGAUAUGGAUUAUAGUUUUCCUUAUCACAAUAUUUUUUUUUUGUUUGAGAAAAUAUCACAUUAGUUUAAGUGAAUAUAAAUUUAAACUUUUACUUUUAAAAGGAAAUAUAUUUUUUUUGAAAAUAAACAGAUGACGUGCAGAAAUUGAGAAAUCUUUCAAUGUUUUUUGCAAAAAUUAGUAAAAAAAUAUAGAAGAAAUAUAUUUCCUUUUUCAAUAUGUUUAGGUUAGUAAUACAUUGACCAAAAAGGAUAGUUCGCAUAUUAAGUUUUCUUUAUCAAUAAGUCAAUUUACUUCCUUAUUCUAUACUGAUAUUAAUUUUUCUAUACAGUGAAGUUGGUUACGUGUGGGUUUCCUAGCUGUUACUUCAAAUUCUUUUAUUUUGCAUAAACAAAUUUUAAUUACACGUAACCUAACUAACUAAUCUUUUAGCAAAAAGGAAAAAAACCUAACUAAUUUUACUGAGAUAAGACCAAAUUUGUUAUCCACAAACAUGUCGAGAUCUAUUUUGUAAAUAACGUUAAAAAGAAAUGAUCACUGAUUUCGACUAUAUGCCAAAAAAUGGACCUAAAAUCACAUAUAGCAAAUGAAAAUAUUAAUGUCGUAUAAAAUUUAAAAAACCAUAAAUUAGGCAUGUUUGUCUUAUAGGAAAACAAUUAUUUAAAACAAUAAAAAUUUAAAAAUAAAAUAAAAUUUAUAUAUUAAAAAAAUCGAGCCUAAGUAUGUGGUUUUUUCUGAAGAUUCUCGGUAGUUUCUUUCUGAUCUUCUUCUUCACGUUCUUUGCGUUUAUUUUCCAAAUUUCUAUCCAUCGGAGUUGACUAUAUAGAAAAAUCAAAAAUGAAGAAAUAAGUUAAGUAUAAUAUAAUAUAAUAAAUCAAUCAAACAUAUAUAGUCUAGUUACCUUUAUGUGUUUAUGAAUUUUUGAAACUGUGAAACUUUGAUAUGAGGACUGAAAAUCUCUUUCUUUAAUUUUUAUCUCAAACAAAUAAGUUUGCCCUACAAUUGACUGCACGCAUUUGGGAAUAUCUUUCAAUCCUUCUUCAGGUGAGUUUCUUUUGAUCUGUUAGCGAAGAUUAUUAGAUAAUAAUUAAUGACAACACCAAUAUUAUAUAUCUACGUAGAAUUAUAUUUACAACAUAAGGAACUUACUUCUUCAGCAGUUGCUCCAGUUAUUUUUGAACCAUCUUCAUCAAAUAUAACAAAAGUUGCAGAAUCAUUUCCAUCAUCUACUAUUACUUCAAUUCUGAAACUGAGGAAUUUUGAUUUAACUUCAAAAUUUAAUAGUAUACAUUUAUAUAUAUAUAUAAUAUUUAUCUAUUUAUGACUAAAAAAUAUAUAAAAUAAAAUUGUGAAUAAUACCUCAAAACUCCAACAGAUUGCGAUUUAACACAUUUUUGGCAAUAAAGUGACGUUUCUGAUUUUUUCAAUUUUGUUGAGCAACUUGAACAUGAUAUAUAAUUCCAGCCACUAUGUGAGACAAUAUUAGUAAUGGUUGCCGUACACAUGAAUGUCUUUUUCUGCAGUUUUUAAAUUUAUAAAAGAUUAGGAAUAAUUUUAAAUUAUACAUUUCAUCUGGUGAAGAAUGAAUUAUUAGAUAUAGUUACGUUACCUGAGGGAUAUCAGAUGCAAUGAAAUCCCAAAUAUCAUUAAUGGAAUGUUGGACGUCAGAGAUCUCAUUAUUCGUCGAAGGAAUUUCAACCAUAUCGCCAAGAUUAACCAAACAGCCACCAUCAUAGCUGACACUAAUAGAAAAGUAUAAAACCUAGUUAGUAAAUUUGUUUUCAACUAAUUAGGCUUAAUUUUAAUAAAAUAAACAUCCAAAAAUUUUAAAUAGUACCUUUUUCGAAAGUCAGUAACAGAAUCAAAAUCAUGAUUCAAAUAGAAUUUAGUCCCAGAAGAUGCUGACAGACAAAUUACACCUUGAUAUGUCUUGAUCAAAACACUUGUCAUGAUAAGAACAAUAUUAUUACUUUUCACAGCACGAUAUUUAUCUUCAAAUAGUUCUGCUUGUUCAGCCCAUAGUGUAACUUGUAUUUCAAUUCCACUGUAUAAGAUAGAAUUUUUGUAAAACAAAAAUAAAAAAUAAAAAUCGAAAUUGAUUAAUAGAAUUGGAAUUUAAAAAAAUACCUUUCUAACAAUAAAGUUAGAAUCACUCUUCGAAGGACAGGUGUGGUCUUGCUACGAACAUCCGUUUUCUCCAUAUUCUUUAUAUAUCCGAUUACAUCUGUAACAAAAUCGUGUUAUAUAAUAAUGUUACUUGAAGCAAAAUUCAUUACAAAUACCGAAUAAAUACUGCAAGAGAUUUAAUUAUCAUGAAGAUAUAAAGCGAAGACAAAAGGAGAAAGAUAAAGAAAUAACUGACCAAAAGAAAAUA